rnacentral:lncRNA from 1 species
AAGGAAGCUGUAUAGAAAAGUAAAUGCUGCUUUCACUAAGAAAUUUUGCUAAGAAAAAAAAAUAUAUCAGUUAAGCAACACACAAAAGAGGGAGUUAAGGUACGGCCAGUAUAUACCUGACACACGCCUUCUCAGCAAAGUGUGGAAACUGCCCUUGAGUUGUCAGACUGUGCCUUACCGGGCACCUGCUCUAGAAUGCUUUGAAUAAGAAUGACUUGAGUCCUUGUCUCCUUUUACAACAGUAAUUCUAAGUGAAUCUUGACACUUGGCUCAUCUUCUCUCUCGAUCAUAGAGCCUUAUCUUAGAGAACUCUAAAACAUUACAGAAAAAAAAAAAUUCAUUCUCCUUAGAAAAGUUGUAUUAACUAACUGGUACCUGGGCAGUUUUAUUCAUCUUAAUCUAUUACUGACUGUGGUAGGAGUAUCUCAUGCUCAUGAGUGAGGAUGUAGGCCAAUAAACGUGGCGUCUUUGUGUAUGAAUGCCAACAGCUGAUAAAAGGUACUGCAGGUCGGCACAUGACAAAUUACUCAGCUCCUGAAGAGUUGCAGAAAGAAACAUCAAGAUUCCAAAACAGUCAUUAAAAAGAUACCCUGCAGAUUUUUUAAAUACUCCAUAUAUUUUGGCUUACGUUGACUAAAGAGUGCUUACUUUAACAAAGAUAUCUUUGAAACACAAAAUGUCAGGCAGAAAGGUUCCCUUUUACUUUUGUGCUUUUAAAGUGAUGUGGUGUAUGCAUGCCCUUGCCAUUUUAAAAGGGAUGAUAUUUUUUAAUCUCUACUUGGUCUACCGUCUUCAGCUACCAUCAGGUUGUACAAGCAUUUAUUUUUAUUUUUAAUUUUUUGCAUGGCUUAUACCCACAGUGUUUCCACAUCCCCUUGUUAGCUUCUUACUCACUGUGGACAAAACCUCUAUUAUAAACG